rnacentral:rRNA from 1 species
UACGAAGGUCCCAAGCGUUAUCCGGAUUUAUUGGGUUUAGAGGGCGCGUAGGUGGUUCUGUAUGUCUACCGUGAAAGCGUACGGCUCAACCGUAUUUUGUCGGUGGAAACUGCAGGACUUGAGGCUGGGAGGGGCUGGUGGAAUUCCCUGUGUAGCGGUGAAAUGCGUAGAGAUGGGGGAGAACACUCGUGGCGAAGGCGGCCAGCUAGACCAGUUCUGACACUGAGGCGCGACAGCGUGGGGAGCAAACGGG